UUUUUUAAUGAUGAUUUUAUUAUCGCCCCAGUCUGAAGCAGAUGUUGAUCGAUUUUUCUGAUUUUAU